UGGGGAAUCUUGCGCAAUGCGCGAAAGCGUGACGCAGCAACGCCGCGUGGGGGAAGAAGGCCUUCGGGUUGUAAACCUCUUUCAGGAGGGACGAAGCCUCGGCGGUUAACAGCCGUUCGAGGUGACGGUACCUCCAGAAGAAGCCCCGGCUAACUACGUGCCAGCAGCCGCGGUAAUACGUAGGGGGCAAGCGUUGUCCGGAAUUAUUGGGCGUAAAGAGCGUGUAGGCGGUCCGGUAAGUCCGCUGUAAAAGUCAAGGGCUCAACCCUUGAAGGCCGGUGGAAACUGCCGGACUAGAGUCCGGAAGAGGCGAGUGGAAUUCCUGGUGUAGCGGUGAAAUGCGCAGAUAUCAGGAGGAACACCUAUGGCGAAGGCAGCUCGCUGGGACGGUACUGACGCUGAGACGCGAAAGCGUGGGGAGCAAACAG
rnacentral:rRNA from 1 species